rnacentral:snRNA from 1 species
AGAGAACCAUCCUUAUGCUCGGGAAAUACGCAUAUCAGUGAGGAUUCGUUCCGAGAUUGUGUUUUUGCUGGUUGAAAUUUAAUUAAUUAUAAACCAGACCGUACUCCUCAUGGCUCGUCUGCGUCCCGUCUCCUUGUGAGUUGGGUAGUGGGCAGUGCUACACUUAAUUCCGUGGCAUUGUAGAGCGCAUGCAGGGAAUUUUUGGCAUCAUUUCACACAUGGACAACAUAGUUCUAGCGGUGG